GCUUCUAAGGUUAAUAUAUGUCCUACAAAACUGCGUGUUUUAAAAUGUCUAUAAACUAUAAAUAUUAAGUCUUAUUUCUCCAAUGAUUUUUAAUGUCAUAAUAAGGAAAGUAGCUUAUAGUCUUUUCUUAUCCAGUGCCAAUGAUAUCUUCACCAAGGUAGUCUUCCGGUAGCCAUGGUCAUCCAGAAAACUAUUUACGAACCACACAGAAAAGUCUACACGCUUGUAGUGCUGCAUUUGCUGCAAUUAAACAUCUUCUUCUGAGAAUUACAGGUCUAGUGAUGGUUGCACAAAAUGCUCGAUGGAUUCCUGCUUGCACUAGACACGCACGUCGGCAUCGGAUCACGUUUGACUGCGCAUUCCCAGGCACAAUAAUGCUUGUCAAAACCAAACAGCAAAGGAAGACGAACACAAACUUUUGUUUUGUUGCCAUAACUAAAAAAACAAUUAAUAACACGCCGUAAGCAAACCAAUC